rnacentral:rRNA from 1 species
GAUGAACGCUAGCUACAGGCUUAACACAUGCAAGUCGAGGGGAAACGGCAUCGAAAGCUUGCUUUUGAUGGGCGUCGCCCGGCGCACGGGCGAGUAACGCGUAUCCAACCUGCGCAUCACUUGGGAAUAACCUUGCGAAACUAAGACUAAUGCCCAAUGACCUACCACGAAGGCCUCCGAAUGGGAUUAAAGAUGUUUCGGUGAUGGAUGGGGAUGCGUGUGAUUAGCUUGUUGGCGGGGUGACGGCCCACCAAGGCAAGGAUCAGUACGGGUCCUGAGAGGUAGGUAGCCCACAUGGGAGCUGGGACACCGACAAUAGGACUACGGCAGGGAGCAGAGAGGAACAUUGGGCAACGGGGGAGAGCCUGACCCAGCCAAGUAGCGUGCAGGACGACGACGCUAUGGGUAGUAAGCAGGUUUUAGGAGUGAAAAAUGUUUGUCACGGGUAACUUUUUGAAGGUACCUGAUGAAUAAGCACCGGCUAAUUCCGUG